AACGAACGCUGGCGGCAGGCCUUACACAUGCAAGUCGAACGGUAACGGGCCUUCGGGUGCCGACGAGUGGCGAACGGGUGAGUAAUGUAUCGGAACGUACCUUUCAGUGGGGGAUAACGCAGCGAAAGUUACGCUAAUACCGCAUAUUCUGUGUGCAGGAAAGCAGGGGAUCGCAAGACCUUGCGCUGAUUGAGUGGCCGAUAUCAGAUUAGCUAGUUGGUGAGGUAAAGGCUCACCAAGGCGACGAUCUGUAGCGGGUCUGAGAGGAUGAUCCGCCACACUGGACCUGGGACCCGGUCCAGACUCCUACGGGAGGCAGCAGUGGGGAAUUUUGGACAAUGGGGGCAACCCUGAUCCAGCCAUGCCGCGUGAGUGAAGAAGGCCUUCGGGUUGUAAAGCUCUUUCGGCCGGGAAGAAAUCGUAUCAGCUAAUACCUGAUGCGGAUGACGGUACCGGCAUAAGAAGCACCGGCUAACUACGUGCCAGCCGCCGCCGUAAUAC
rnacentral:rRNA from 1 species